rnacentral:lncRNA from 1 species
CAGAGCAUAGCUAUCCUAUCUUUGAGAAACUUGUUUUUACACCCUUUCAUUUUAGUCUUUAAUGUUAGCUUAGAUUAGUUUAAAUCUUUCUAAAACAUUUACAUCUUCUUUUAAAGCUAACAUCCAUAAGAAAAUCACCUAUUUUCCUAAUUUGAAUAUCACUUGUGUUUGCGAAAACCCUUCCCAGUGAACGAUCCUAGAACCACUAUGCUAUAGUAGCUUGGCUACUUUAGUAAUAGUAUUCAAGGUAUAAAUUUUGUUGAUACGCC